rnacentral:rRNA from 1 species
GACGAACGCUGGCGGCGUGCUUAACACAUGCAAGUCGAACGGAAAGGCCCUGCUUUUGUGGGGUGCUCGAGUGGCGAACGGGUGAGUAACACGUGAGUAACCUGCCCUUGACUUUGGGAUAACUUCAGGAAACUGGGGCUAAUACCGGAUAGGAGCUCCUGCUGCAUGGUGGGGGUUGGAAAGUUUCGGCGGUAGGGGAUGGACUCGCGGCUUAUCAGCUUGUUGGUGGGGUAGUGGCUUACCAAGGCUUUGACGGGUAGCCGGCCUGAGAGGGUGACCGGCCACAUUGGGACUGAGAGACGGCCCAGACUCCUACGGGAGGCAGCAGUGGGGAAUAUGGCACAGUGGGCGGAAGCCUGAUGCAGCAACGCCGCGUGCGGGAUGACGGCCUUCGGGUUGUAAACCGCUUUCGCCUGUGACGAAGCGUGAGUGACGGUAAUGGGUAAAGAAGCACCGGCUAACUACGUG